rnacentral:rRNA from 1 species
AUGAGAGGUAAUGCUAAUGGCCUGAAAAAACUGAUUAUGGAUGAGUUCCCUUCUGCCUACUAUGUUCAUUGUUUUGCCCAUCAACUACAGUUAACUCUUGUUCCUGUUGCUAAGGAGAGUGGUGAUUGUACUUGGUUCUUUCAGCAGCUUGCACACUUGUUAAAUGCUCUUGGCAUGUCUUGUAAAAAGAUGAGAAUGCUUCGGAUAGCUUAGGCUGAAGAACUCAUUAAUGCAUUGGAAUUGGAAGAAGUAGAAAUAGGGAGUGGGCUGAAUCAGGAAAUGGGUUUGGGAAGGCCAUGUGAUACACGUUGGGGCUCUCACUUCAAAACUGUGAACCAUGUCAUCUCUAUGUAUGGUGCACUACGACGAGUCCUUCGCAAGAUUGGAGACGAGUACCAUGGUGCGGAGGCACAAGCGGCUCUAUCCAUAGAGACAAUAUUUCGAUCAUUUGAGUUUGUUUUCAUGGCACACUUGAUGCAAGAAAUAUUUGGAUACACAGAUGAGUUGUGUAGAGCUUUGCAAAAGCAAGACGAAGAUAUUGUUCAUGCUAUUGAGCUUGUUGGUGACACAAAGUAUUACAUGGAGGCUUUGAGGCCCGAUGCUGGAUGGGAUGAUUUUCUCACAAAGGUCACAUCUUUUUGUACAAAGCAUAAGAUCAAAGUUGUUGAUAUGGAGGGUCCUUACUUUCCCGUUGGCCGGCCUAGAAGGGGUUUAUGUAAUGGUGUGAUCAAUUACCACCGCUUCAAGUUUUUGUUUGUGGGUGUCAUUGAUAGGCAAAUCAGUGAGCUGAAUGGCAGAUUUGAUGAGGUAAACACGGAGCUACUUUCUUGCAUGGCAGCAUUCUGUCCACUUCAUCUAUUUGCUGCUUAUGACCAAGAUAAGUUGGUUAGGCUUGCUACAAAGUUUUAUGCUUCUGAUUUUACAAGUGAUGAACUGGCAAGACUUCCAUGA